rnacentral:rRNA from 1 species
GACGAACGCUGGCGGCGUGCUUAACACAUGCAAGUCGAACGGAAAGGCCCUGCUUGCAGGGUACUCGAGUGGCGAACGGGUGAGUAACACGUGGGUGAUCUGCCCUGCACUUCGGGAUAAGCCUGGGAAACUGGGUCUAAUACCGGAUAGGAGCCAUUUUUAGUGUGAUGGUUGGAAAGUUUUUUCGGUGUAGGAUGAGCUCGCGGCCUAUCAGCUUGUUGGUGGGGUAAUGGCCUACCAAGGCGGCGACGGGUAGCCGGCCUGAGAGGGUGGACGGCCACAUGGGACUGAGAUACGGCCCAGACUCCUACGGGAGGCAGCAGUGGGGAAUAUUGCACAAUGGGCGCAAGCCUGAUGCAGCGACGCCGCGUGGGGGAUGACGGCCUUCGGGUUGUAAACUCCUUUCGCUAGGGACGAAGCUUUUUGUGACGGUACCUAGAUAAGAAGCACCGGCUAACUACGUG